rnacentral:rRNA from 1 species
AUGUCAUGGAACGUGCGGGGACUUAACUCCCCUGCUAAGCGCUCGGCCAUUUGCGAGGUAGCUUUCGCAAACAGGAUUUUAAUCCUAAAUUUGCAGGAAACUAAGAUUGAAUCAUGGUCCACUCAGUUAGCAGUAGAAGUAGGGGGUCCUUCGCUUCUGGGCUGUGUUGUUUUGCCAGCAACAGGUACUAGAGGUGGGGCAGCAAUCUUCUGGGACAAACAAGUAGUCGACAUAGUUUCUCACAUGAUCGCUAGCUUCUCCAUCACAGUUAGGGUUCAAAUCGUCGGAACCAGCGAGUUCUUCUGGAUGACAACA